rnacentral:rRNA from 1 species
CCUACGGGAGGCAGCAGUGGGGAAUGGGCGAAAGCCUGACGCAGCAACGCCGCGUGCGGGAAGAAGGCUUUCGGGCUGUAAACCGCUUUCAGCAGGAACGAAAAUGACGGUACCUGCAGAAGAAGGAGCGGCUAACUUCGUGCCAGCAGCCGCGGUAAUACGAAGGGGGCUAGCGUUGCUCGGAAUUACUGGGCGUAAAGGGAGCGUAGGCGGACAUUUAAGUCAGGGGUGAAAUCCCGGGGCUCAACCUCGGAAUUGCCUUUGAUACUGGGUGUCUUGAGUAUGAGAGAGGUGUGUGGAACUCCGAGUGUAGAGGUGAAAUUCGUAGAUAUUCGGAAGAACACCAGUGGCGAAGGCGACACACUGGCUCAUUACUGACGCUGAGGCUCGAAAGCGUGGGGAGCAAACAGGAUUAGAUACCCUGGUAGUCCACGCCGUAAACGAUGAUUGCUAGUUGUCGGGAUGCAUGCAUUUCGGUGACGCAGCUAACGCAUUAAGCAAUCCGCCUGGGGAGUACGGUCGCAAGAUUAAAACUCAAAGGAAUUGACGG